UACGUAGGGUCCAAGCGUUGUCCGGAUUUAUUGGGCGUAAAGAGCUCGUAGGCGGUUUGUUGCGUCGGCCGUGAAAACCUGCAGCUUAACUGUGGGCCUGCGGCCGAUACGGGCAGACUUGAGUUCGGUAGGGGAGACUGGAAUUCCGGGUGUAGCGGUGGAAUGCGUAGAGAUCCGGAAGAACACCGGAGGCGAAGGCGGCUUGCUGGGCGUUGUCUGACGCUGAGGCGCGAAAGCGUGGGGAGCGAACAGG
rnacentral:rRNA from 1 species